rnacentral:rRNA from 1 species
UGGGGAAUUUUGGACAAUGGGCGCAAGCCUGAUCCAGCAAUGCCGCGUGAGUGAAGAAGGCCUUCGGGUUGUAAAGCUCUUUUGUCAGGGAAGAAACGGUUGGGGCUAAUAUCCCCGGCUAAUGACGGUACCUGAAGAAUAAGCACCGGCUAACUACGUGCCAGCAGCCGCGGUAAUACGUAGGGUGCAAGCGUUAAUCGGAAUUACUGGGCGUAAAGCGUGCGCAGGCGGUUUUGUAAGUCUGACGUGAAAUCCCCGGGCUCAACCUGGGAAUUGCGUUGGAGACUGCAAGGCUGGAGUCUGGCAGAGGGGGGUAGAAUUCCACGUGUAGCAGUGAAAUGCGUAGAGAUGUGGAGGAACACCGAUGGCGAAGGCAGCCCCCUGGGUCAAGACUGACGCUCAUGCACGAAAGCGUGGGGAGCAAACAGGAUUAGAUACCCUGGUAGUCCACGCCCUAAACGAUGUCUACUAGUUGUCGGGUCUUAAUUGACUUGGUAACGCAGCUAACGCGUGAAGUAGACCGCCUGGGGAGUACGGUCGCAAGAUUAA